UUCUCAGUUGAUUAGGCGCAUUAACAUUUACACCUGCUACAUCUCACAACCAAUUGAUGACUACCUUGAUCCUAGAGAUUUUCCAGGUGUGCCUUCUAAAUUGUGACGGAGGGAGUAUAUGUAAGAAGAAAACGAUUUAGUGUUGUCAGAUUGUGGGGUGGGGGGAUGAACAGUGGGACCAAUGGUAAAAAUAAAAAUACAACCAAGAGCAAGAGGACACAGCUACUCAGGCUUUUUUGUUUCUAUCUCACCACCUAACCACGCGACCAAGGACAAAAAGUUCACGCAGAAUAUGGCAGGAAUCUCAUUGCAUUUGGUUUAUACUACAAUGGCCACCACAUGACAUCUUCAUGCUUUUAAACAGUUAGCGAGCAGAUUUGCAUCAUGGACAGCCGCUCGGAUUUCGAACGAAAUGUCGAAUGUUUGUCAUCAUUUGGAUCGUAUUCAUCAUCUACUGCCAGGAUUGAUGCCACUUGUUUAACAAAGAGUAGCAAAAUUUGAAUUAAACGGUCGCAGAGUAGCUGGCUCACCUCGUCUACGUCGCAGCAGCUUCUAUAAUUACCCAGGAUAGCAGACACACCAGCUGUUGUUUUGGUUGACGGUUUUCCUCCAUAAAAGCUGCAAGCCACCACCCCACCGUGCCUGCUGAAAGCAGAUCAUGUUUCUUACUCUACAAAUAGACACACAGCUAAGGUUAAUUAGCAUACUGAAAAGAACCCUAAACCCUAAACCAGGCUGCAAGCUCUAGUGUCAGUGGCGGAACUAGAUAAUUUACCAGCAGGAAUUUGCUUUUUGCGACGAAAAAACGUUGAAUUAUGCAAACAAUUGUUUCCGAUUAGACAACGGAACACCAUCAUUUUUUUUUUGCUCUGAAAUAAUUUAGCGUUGCCAGGUUGCGGUAAAAAGAUGAGCAAUCCAGAAGUUACCGCUGGAUUUGGAUUAUACAAUUGCCGCCACGAAACAAUGACAGCCGCAUACCAGGUCUGUAUACUGGAAAGACUCAGAUUUCGGCGAAAUGUUUUGUUCUCAUUCAUCUAUACUGUGUAGAAAUGAUGGCACCAAUUUACACGUGAACUAAAUAGUCCUAGCGUAGUUGCUUCAGAUAUGCGGCGCAUAGGAAAUCACACACAAUGAGUAGCACCACCACUGCCCAGAGCACAUGUAGAACAACAAUAUGUAGUAUUUUGAAUCAAUCAAGGUUGAAGACUCUCGAGCUAAGGACAACCUCACACAAGCUCUUCAAGAUGGUGACACCUUGAAGCUCUCCUAUGGCCGGUAGCCACAACGAGGCCAGCUUUGCAAUCUCAUCACACAUGCUCCCAGUCAGCAACCUAUUUGUGAUGUGCAUCUUGUGAAGUUCGUCGUGCGAACUCAGCUGGCUCGUUGAACUCCGCGGUCAAAGAUCAUAGCUGUGAGGUGAUGUCCCUAUGCCACCCAUACCCAUAUCUGUUGCUAGCUUGCUUGAAGCAAAAGAAAAUAAAAUGUAGGUGCUCAAGUGCCCCGAUGCUCAGGCUCAUCCCUUCCUGCACACUUGCUUAUCUUGAGAUAUGACUGGCAUAUAUAUUACCCUUUGCGGGAUUGUUAGGACAUGAGUUUCUCUCUUGUGCACCAACCCCGAAUGCCACAAUAAACAUCACAUACCAGCUUGUCACCUACUUCUCCUACCUCAAAGUACUCCUAGUGUAAAAAACUCGAUCCAAAAUUCAUGAAAAAAAAUAGUUGGUGAAAUUGACAUAUAACACAUACUAAUCAUGUUACAAGGAUCAAAUCCAAAUUUGUAACACAUAACUAGAAGCAAGAAAGAAAGACAAAUCUAGUUUGGACUAGUAUUUUUUCCAAUUUGGUCCAUCAAUCUGGAGCAUGGACAAUAUUAAUUUUGGAUUUUUCUUUUAUGUUUCUCAAACAAUUACUGGAGCUUGGACAUGAAAUCUGUUGUAGUAUUGUGUUGUGUUUUUUUCUAGAAUUUUUAGCAACUUCUAAAUGGACUAAAAUAUAUGGGAGUACUCCAUGUCAGGGAGUACGUGAUACCCCAGACAUUCGACAUUGUGCCUUCAAAUUCUGAAACGUAACAUGGAUUGAGCCAGGACACUUUGCGUAUCAAGCAGAGCCUGUUUGUACCUGCGUCCAGCACCCGAACGGCUCGAGUUCUCUAAGAAAAACGUUGGAAUCAAGCACUAUUACUGCACGAUUUGAUACUGCACCACAGUUUUCAGCUGCCGCCUAAACGGGCAACUGCUAACUGUACUAUAUGGUUUAUUACACCGAAUCAUGUGCAUGUUGUGACUACGUACGCACGUUUCACGAUUGACAGCCACCACCAUUAGUCUGACGCUACGGAAGUGUACUCUAUUGAUGGCAGAUUUAGAUGGUUGCUGCAUGCCCGUGCCAACAGAAAAAACGUAUUUGGAAUAAAGAAAAUGAAAACGAUGGCAACAACCAGCCUAUCAAUUAUUCAAGUGGGCACCAUUAUUAUACUUAUUCGUUAAAAAAUGAAUCAGUGUUGUCGGGUUGCAAGAAAAGAAAUUGAACACCGAGACCAAAAAUACAUCCAAGAGGACGCGGCCACCUACCACGAGUAAAAACUGGUGAAGAUAGACAAAAAUUCACGCGACAUGGCAGGAAUCUCAUUGCAUUUGGUUUAUAUUACAAUGGCACUACUCCUACAGGGCAUCUUCAUACUUUAAAACCAUUGCACAACAGAGUUGCAUAAUGGGCAGGCUCCAACUUCGAGCGAAAUAUUUUGUUACCAUUUGGAUCUUAUUUAGCGCCCACUAGCAGGAUUGGUACCACCAGGUUACCGAAGAGUACCUACUGAAAGCUGAAUAAAACGACUGUGCAGUAGCUGGCUCACUCACCUCAUCUAUGUGGCAGAGCAAGCUUUGCCAGCAGGGUCUCUAGAAGUGUUUCCCUCGCUCGUUGUCCCAGAUAAGUGAAUCCCAUAAAUGCUGCAAGCCCACCACUCCACUCUGCCUGCUGAAAGCAGAUCAUGUUUCUUGCU
rnacentral:lncRNA from 1 species